UUAACACAUGCAAGUCGAACGGUGAAGGAGAGCUUGCUCUCCGGAUCAGUGGCGAACGGGUGAGUAACACGUGAGCAAUCUGCCCCUGACUCUGGGAUAAGCGCUGGAAACGGCGUCUAAUACCGGAUACGAGCUGCGAAGGCAUCUUCAGCAGCUGGAAAGAACUUCGGUCAGGGAUGAGCUCGCGGCCUAUCAGCUAGUUGGUGAGGUAAUGGCUCACCAAGGCGUCGACGGGUAGCCGGCCUGAGAGGGUGACCGGCCACACUGGGACUGAGACACGGCCCAGACUCCUACGGGAGGCAGCAGUGGGGAAUAUUGCACAAUGGGCGCAAGCCUGAUGCAGCAACGCCGCGUGAGGGACGACGGCCUUCGGGUUGUAAACCUCUUUUAGCAGGGAAGAAGCGAAAGUGACGGUACCUGCAGAAAAAGCGCCGGCUAACUACGUGCCAGCAGCCGCGGUAAUACGUAGGGCGCAAGCGUUAUCCGGAAUUAUUGGGCGUAAAGAGCUCGUAGGCGGUUUGUCGCGUCUGCUGUGAAAACCCGAGGCUCAACCUCGGGCCUGCAGUGGGUACGGGCAGACUAGAGUGCGGUAGGGGAGAUUGGAAUUCCUGGUGUAGCGGUGGAAUGCGCAGAUAUCAGGAGGAACACCGAUGGCGAAGGCAGAUCUCUGGGCCGUAACUGACGCUGAGGAGCGAAAGGGUGGGGAGCAAACAGGCUUAGAUACCCUGGUAGUCCACCCCGUAAACGUUGGGA
rnacentral:rRNA from 1 species